UGGGGAAUAUUGCACAAUGGGCGCAAGCCUGGUGCAGCCAUGCCGCGUGUGUGAAGAAGGCCUUCGGGUUGUAAAGCACUUUCAGCGGGGAGGAAGGCGAUAAGGUUAAUAACCUUGUCGAUUGACGUUACCCGCAGAAGAAGCACCGGCUAACUCCGUGCCAGCAGCCGCGGUAAUACGGAGGGUGCAAGCGUUAAUCGGAAUUACUGGGCGUAAAGCGCACGCAGGCGGUCUGUCAAGUCGGAUGUGAAAUCCCCGGGCUCAACCUGGGAACUGCAUUCGAAACUGGCAGGCUAGAGUCUUGUAGAGGGGGGUAGAAUUCCAGGUGUAGCGGUGAAAUGCGUAGAGAUCUGGAGGAAUACCGGUGGCGAAGGCGGCCCCCUGGACAAAGACUGACGCUCAGGUGCGAAAGCGUGGGGAGCAAACAGG
rnacentral:rRNA from 1 species